rnacentral:rRNA from 1 species
GAUGAACGCUAGCGAUAGGCUUAACACAUGCAAGUCGAGGGGCAGCAUGGUCUUAGCUUGCUAAGACUGAUGGCGACCGGCGCACGGGUGCGUAACGCGUAUGCAACUUGCCUCACAGAGGGGGAUAACCCGUCGAAAGACGGACUAAUACCGCGUACACUCCAUCUUGGGCAUCCAAGGUAGAGGAAAUGAAAUUCGCUGUGAGAUAGGCAUGCGUCCCAUUAGCUAGUUGGUGAGGUAACGGCUCACCAAGGCGACGAUGGGUAGGGGAACUGAGAGGUUGAACCCCCACACUGGUACUGAGACACGGACCAGACUCCUACGGGAGGCAGCAGUGAGGAAUAUUGGUCAAUGGGCGAGAGCCUGAACCAGCCAAGUCGCGUGAAGGAUGACUGUCUUAUGGAUUGUAAACUUCUUCUAUACGGGAAUAACAAGAGUCACGUGUGACUCCCUGCAUGUACCGUAUGAAUAAGCAUCGGCUAACUCCGUG